AUUCAUCUCAUCACUUCUUGAGAGGAAGAAAAGGAAGAAAAAUGGAUCGAGGCAGAUAAUAAAAAGAAACACACCCAAUCCUCUUUGAUUCAUCAAACCUGGACUCACGAUGCUCGAAAUGAGUAGAAGCAGUUCGAAAUGGGGGAGCCAAGUUCUAAACUGUACUCCUGAAGUCGCCAAAUAUUCCGUGACUAUUCUUGCACUCGCCAGGCUUUGCCCAGCACUCGACUUUGGGCACUUUGCGGGCCGGAGAACUGAGCGCGAAUUCCGCCAUCUCUUCGCGUAAACUCUUCCUCCCACUCCUCGCUCCCGUGGAACCGAAUUCAACUCAAGUUGAAACUAUGUCGAGUCCCCUCACUUUUCCGCGUACCACGGCGUUAAACUGGUAUUAUAUCCCCGUGUCUUCGUUUGCGGGCAACCGUUUCAACCGGUUCAAGUCCUCGUCGCUUUAAUUCAUCCGCGUGCAUAACUCCGGUCCGGGAUUUUUCUUCUCUCGAGGAGCGAGACUCGAGACGAGUGGAUGGUUUUGGCAAUGCGCGGUCUGGCACGAGCGAGAAGUGUUGCUCAUGUUAUCUUAAACGCGGUAUAUUUAUCCGAGUUGUUAAUGUUGAAAUGAAGAAGUGGAGAGAGAGAGAAAGAGAGAAAGAGAGGGGAGAAGAGUUCGUUACUCGGUUACUUGGUUGCAAGUCUUUUGCUGGUUUCUUUUGAGAAACGACGUUCCUAUAAAUCUAGUUGGAGGGAAAGGAGACGUCCACGGGACGCAACGAGCGCAGACACGACAGACGCGAGCUCCUCGCGUGCUUCCGGUUGUAUGCACGCGCGCGCAUUGUUGCGCUGACGUGCCAGAGAUGAGAAAAACGAGAGGAGAGGGGGGGGGAAAAGCUGGCGUUUACGCGAAAGAGACGUGCGCCACAAACGGGACAGCAUAAUUCCACGCGAUGGUUGUCAAGUGUGGACAGAACGCACGUUCUCGAGGAUUGCAUCGACACUUGGAUAUAUAUCGUGCGAUCAACAUAGGAAUCGCGUUUCGAUAGUACAAGUCGUGGCGCAUGUUGGAACGUCGUUCUCGACAUCGAUACACGGACGAGAUAUCGUGCAAACAAAAGUCUCAUCGGGUUUUAUGCGGCUUAUAGCAAGGGAGGAAAAACUCUGAGAGUAUCCGAUUUCAUGUAUUCUAUGCGCAUCCAUUCACCAAGAUAAACAGAAUAUUUCUGAAGCAGCUCGGCCCGCCGGAUACUGUAAAAUAUCUAAGAAAAUGCGAUCGAAUCCGUGACGAGAAUAACUUUUUGGAUUAUUUUUAAAAGAGGAAAUUUCAUUUCUCUUCGGACAGAAAGUAAUUGGUCACCAACGUAAAAAUUUUUUAGACAUUUUUUUGGAAAACUUGAAAUAGUUAGAAAAUUUAAAAUUGGAUCCCAUUUAUUAUUAAAAAAAGGAACAACGUUAUUAUAAGAAUAAUUUUGUCUGCGUUAAAGAUUAUUAUUAAAGAAAAAUUUAAUAUGGAGGAUCAAUUCUAUUGAAUAUGGUUUUAUAAUACUUUAUGUAAUUGUAUAAAUUCUAUAUUUUAACAUAAUUAAUAAUUA
rnacentral:lncRNA from 1 species